rnacentral:lncRNA from 1 species
ACAAGCCUGUCUGUUGUCUUAAAGUAUAAAUGAUACUUUUCUGCCUCUGUCGACAAAGGUGAAGAGCGCAGAUGAUGUCUUCACCCUCUACUGGAAUGGGCCAAAGGAUGAAAAAUCUGACUCCCUCCUCCUAGCUGGGCAGCGUCCACCAGGAAGUGUGUUUGACUGGUGUUUCUUCUAUUGAUGUUGCAGAUUGCCACGGGAGUCUUCAUCUGGAUGCCAACGGAAGAAGUUUGUUGGAAGAUUGCUCAGAGAGGAAGGACCAACCGACUUCAGGGUGGGCCUGGGCCACAGUGUUCCUGGGCAUUGGCUCAGAAGGUUAUUUGAAGCUUGGAAACCCAGGAAAGACUGAAUCACCUACAACCGCUACUGUCAAAAUGUCCAGGAAGGAACGAGGCAUUUCUGACUCAGGGGCGUUCUUGCCUGGAACAGGAGCGAGCCCCUCUUUGGAGAAUAAUUAGGAUCAUCACAACAUGCUCCGACGUCUGUCAAGGGCUCUGGAGUUUGCAAAGCCACUGACCCGUGGGACGCCGUCUGGGCUGCCCGACCUCCAUUUCAUGGAGAAGGAGACUGAGACCCAGCGGUGAGAAGUGCCCCGCUGUCCAGGGACGGCCGGCGGCUUAGGAGCGAACGUGGGCUCCCGGCCCGUUUGUGUUCGGUGGGAGCAGACUGCGUGAAUAGCUCCCAACCUCUGUGUAUUUGCCUUUUUUUGCUUAGCGCAGUACCUGGCACGUAGUGGAUUCUAUGUAAAUGUUAGUUAUUAUUACUGUUUUUGAAAGUUGGAGACAAGCAGGUGAAUCCCAUCCCCAGGCCUGCCUGUCCCUGCUGUUCUCCUUUUGCUUCUCAGCCUCAAACCUUCCCCCAGGGUAAAGUUCUGGGGUGAAAAAACGAGCCUGAACAUUUUGUUCCAUUUCAGCAAGCACUUAUUAGGCACCUACGAUGUCCCCUGCACUUCAGUGAAAGGAGCAGAGCUGGGCUUUCUC